UCGGGGGCGUGGCAUGCAGUCAUCUGUUUCUUGGUUUGCAUGAAAUUCUUGUUAUAUCCACGUGGAAAAUGUUUUGGAAAAAAAUCACUAGCAUUUCCAUGCAACAUUGAAGUGAAAAGUCAUGGUGAUGAAUGAGGUUGCGUGAAAAUCCUGUCUGCAAAUUUUGAGUCGGGCGUGCAAGUCUGGGACAGUCAGUUAGCUGCUGAUUGUCAUCAACUGAACAUGGUUUCAGUUUUUUUUCUGUUUGUGCCGGAACAAUCUAGCACUGUUUUUUUCGAAGUGAGAUUAUGAAGUGCAAUAGCCACGAAAACCGAAGUUCCAAAGCAACAACGUCGGUGCAAAUCACCGACAACAAAGCCAAGCGCAACUUGAAGCCGGAGGUGAGCUAGGCUCACCCGGUCCAGGACAUCAUGGGAGUCAAACAAGCUAAGAAGGUAAUAAAGGCACUGGUCGCGUGCGGCAGAAGGUGAGUAUCGCUAGGGAAGCCUCCCUGGAUCCACGUUCCGCAAGUGAUAAACCGAAACGAGAACCAAGAGUGCGUGUGUGAAAUUAUUCUUUGAAAAUGUCUCCUGAACCAGAAAAUAGCAGAAAAUUUUAGUAUGUUGUGAUUUAUAGUGUUUUAUGUGAAGUGAACAAGAUUUUGUGUUGAAGUGUUAUUAAAAUUGGAAAAUAAAAAAUGUCAAAAGA